UACGGGGGGGGGCGAGCGUUGUUCGGAAUUACUGGGCGUAAAGGGCUCGUAGGCGGCCAACUAAGUCCGACGUGAAAUCCCCAAGCUUAACUUGGGAACUGCGUCGGAUACUGGAUGGCUUGAAUUCGGGAGAGGGAUGCAGAAUUCCAGGUGUAGCGGUGAAAUGCGUAGAUAUCGGGAGGAACAUCCGUGGCGAAGGCGGCCACCUGGACCAGCACUGACACUGAGGCACGAAAGCGUGGGGAGCAAACAGG
rnacentral:rRNA from 1 species